GAUGAACGCUGGCGGCGUGCCUAAUACAUGCAAGUCGAGCGAACGGACGAGAAGCUUGCUUCUCUGAUGUUAGCGGCGGACGGGUGAGUAACACGUGGAUAACCUACCUAUAAGACUGGGAUAACUUCGGGAAACCGGCGCUAAUACCGGAUAAUAUUUUGAACCGCAUGGUUCAAAAGUGAAAGACGGUCUUGCUGUCACUUAUAGAUGGAUCCGGGCUGCAUUAGCUAGUUGGUAAGGUAACGGCUUACCAAGGCAACGAUGCAUAGCCGACCUGUGAGAGUGAUCGGCCACCCUGGAGCUGAGCCACGGACAAUACUCCUACGGUAGGCAGCAGUAGGGAAUCGUCCGCAAUGGGCGAAAGCCUGACGGAGCAACGCCGCGUGAGUGAUGAAGGUCUUCGGAUCGUAAAACUCUGUUAUUAGGGAAGAACAUAUGUGUAAGUAACUGUGCACAGCUUGACGGUACCGAAUCAGAAAGCCACGGCUAACUACGUG
rnacentral:rRNA from 1 species